rnacentral:snoRNA from 11 species
GAGCAGUGAUGAACCUAAGUGGAACUGACAAUUUAAUACAUGGAGGUUUCUACACUUGACCUGAGCUCA